rnacentral:misc_RNA from 1 species
UCCCAGCCUGCUACGUACGAACGCGGAUUAUCCACGCUCUCACGCAAUAGGCUGGGCAGUUUUUCGUGACACUUGUAACACGAAACAGGGGUUGCGCUCGUUACCCCAAUUAAGGGAACGCCUCACGGCACGAGCUGACGACAACCAUGCAGCACCUGUGCUUACUGUUCUUGCGAAGGGCUAAUGUUUCCAAAAGCUUGCAAUAAGCAUUUCAAACCCUGGUGAGGUUCUUCGUUCAUUGUCGAAUUAAACCUCAUGUUCCACCGCUUGUGCGAGUCCCCGUCUAUUCCUUUGAGUUUUAAUCUUGCGAUCGUACUUCCCAGGCGGCAGGUUUAACGCGUUAGCUCCGCCACUCCGAGGGUCGAUACUCGAAACAGCAAACCUGCAUCGUUUAGGGCGU